UGGUCUUCGAUGGCGAAACAGCUCUUG
rnacentral:sRNA from 1 species